rnacentral:lncRNA from 1 species
CACCACCACACCCUGGAGCUUUGAGGACCUUAGUAUUCACCACAGAUGAACCGGAGACUCCUCAGCCCCCAGGUGCAGCAGGAUUCCAGCUGGUCCAGAAGAAACAAGUGCAGCUGCAUAAAAAAUGUUUUCCCAAUUUCACUGAUGGAAAAACAAGGAUGGUGAAGCAGUUAGUGACAGAACCAGGGCUGGAACCCGCCACUCCUGACUCCAAACUCCUGGCGCCUUCUACACGGGGCCUCGAGAAAAGCGGGACAGGUAAGUGCAAAGACCCAAACCCAGCGCAGCGCCCAAGCAGGUGCUCAGGCCCGGGCGCUGAACCCUGACGCUGGGCCUGGAGAGCCAGGAGGUGGCAGUCUGCCCGAGGAGGAGGCUUCCCGAGAAGGCAAGGGCAGCGGACCCGGAGAGAAGCCAGUCUCCGAGUGGGGCUGGGGUUCGCCCACCCAAGCUCCGCCUCCCCCAGGCCCAAAAUUCUGUGCACUAGGAGGCUCGAACUUAAGAGCUGACAGCAGGAGAAAAAGGAGGGGGUGAGGGCAAGAAAUACAAAAGUGAUGAAAAGGGAGAAAUGGGGAGGAGAGACCGGACAUAAAGAAGAACGUUGGGAGCCCGGGGAAAGGGGCCGCACUAGAGGUAGGUCGCGAAUCCGAAGAGCUCCGCUCUGCCAGAGCCCCACAAACAAUCCCCCGGUGGCCCCACUCACCCCAGAUGGC